GCGGUUUUAGCUCAGUUGGGAGAGCGUCAGACUGAAGUCAACUUCAGUUCAGUUUAAUCUGAAGGUCCAGUGUUCGAUCCACUGAAACCGCA
rnacentral:tRNA from 1 species